UUGAAUGUGCUGGAGCAGAACGUUGUGCUUGCUGGGGAGUUGGAGGUUGGUGCGAGAAAACUUCUGUUGAUGUUUCUGCUCCCGUCCAUGAUCUUAGAUGUUGCUACCAGUGAGUGUCAUCUUCCACUACAAGACCAAGAAAAACACAAAUGGGGGCUGGAAUUAAUUCCAGAAAGACCAAGGAGGAAUGCAGGGGAUAACAGAUCUAUGAUUCAGAAGGCUAUUGAUCUUAAAUGUUACUACCUCCGUUCCAAAGUAUGUUCCAAAUUAUAGGUUGUUUUGACUUUUCUAGGUUCAUUGAUAUUAUUAUGCACCUAGACAUAUACUCCAUCUGGAUGCAUAAUAAUAUCUAUGAACUUAAAAAAGCUAAAAUGACCUACAAUUUGGAAUGGAGUACAAGAACCUAGAAGCCCCACGCAAAGGUCCAGGGCAAGAGAUGGGUGAACGAGAAGAAGUUGAUGGACAGGAUGAUAAGGACGCUGGAGAGCUGGUGAGUCUUGUGCGAGGAAGGGCAUGCUGCAGGACUGGACCAUGUGCUGGGCAUACUGAAGGCCAAGAUGAGCCAACCGCUACAGCUAACCUGGGAACGAGCAGCUUCCGCUACGACGAGGAUGCAGGGAUUGUCAGGUGCGGGAACAUUCAUUGGGCAGCUUGGCUCCAGCGAUGUCAAUCCUUUGGGGGUUGGAAGGGGCGUUAAUGAAGAGUCGAGUUUGCUUUAUCUGUCAGCAAACCCUGUAACAAGUUUAGACUCUGGUGGUACUGAGUGAAAGCAACAGCAGGCGCGCUGCCAAUACGCUGGUCGAAAAUGUAACCAUGCUUUGUUUCUCUGAAAUAAAGCGG